CUUCCAGUAGCACCUUAACGACCAACUAAGUUUGUUACUGGUAUGAGGUUUUGUGUGCAUGCACACGAAAGCUCAUACCAAUAACAAACUUAGUUGGUCUUUAAGGUGCUACUGGAAG